CAGCCAUGCCGCGUGUGUGAAGAAGGCCUUCGGGUUGUAAAGCACUUUCAGUCGUGAGGAAGGUAGUGUAGUUAAUAGCUGCAUUAUUUGACGUUAGCGACAGAAGAAGCACCGGCUAACUCCGUGCCAGCAGCCGCGGUAAUACGGAGGGUGCGAGCGUUAAUCGGAAUUACUGGGCGUAAAGCGCAUGCAGGUGGUUUGUUAAGUCAGAUGUGAAAGCCCGGGGCUCAACCUCGGAAUAGCAUUUGAAACUGGCAGACUAGAGUACUGUAGAGGGGGGUAGAAUUUCAGGUGUAGCGGUGAAAUGCGUAGAGAUCUGAAGGAAUACCGGUGGCGAAGGCGGCCCCCUGGACAGAUACUGACACUCAGAUGCGAAAGCGUGGGGAGCAAACAGGAUUAGAUACCCUGGUAGUCCACGCCGUAAACGAUGUCUACUUGGAGGUUGUGGCCUUGAGCCGUGGCUUUCGGAGCUAACGCGUUAAGUAGACCGCCU
rnacentral:rRNA from 1 species